AACGAACGCUAGCGGCGUGCUUAACACAUGCAAGUCGAACGAGAAAUCCCGGGCAACUGGGAGAGUAAAGUGGCGCACGGGUGAGUAACGCGUGGGUAAUCUGCCCUGGAGUUGGGAAUAACACCUCGAAAGGGGUGCUAAUACCCGGUAAGAUCCUGAGAACUCCGGUCCUUGGGAUAAAAGGUAGCUGAGGCUUGCAAGCUAUUGCUCCAGGAUGAGCCCGCGUACCAUUAGCUUGUUGGUGGGGUAACGGCCCACCAAGGCGACGAUGGUUAGCUGGUCUGAGAGGAUGAUCAGCCACACUGGAACUGACACACGGUCCAGACUCCUACGGGUGGCAG
rnacentral:rRNA from 1 species